UUGGUCAAAUGUACUGUAUAGAACUAAAAUAUACUUAGCUUAAAGAUACUCUUUCAAACAAGUUACAUGAGAAAAUCGCGGCAUGUGUUUGAUCAGUGCUCACAUGGUGAAAUUGUUCGGUUCCUCCAUAUCAGCUUUAGUUUUGCUAACGUACCUCUUUCACUUUCCUACAAAAUGUCUAGAAAUAACAGUAUUUUAUAACAAAUUUUUUUCUUCCAAUCAACGCUGUGGUCAUCUUUUAAUUUAUGGUUAUGAAUGGGAGAGUGGGACAAAGGCAGAUGAUCUCCACUUACGGGGGAACUGCUUUUGAAACGCCAUUCACCAUUUUUGUUUUUAAAACCAGUUAAAGCGGGAGAUCUGCAUGCAGUUCAAUAUUUUUGUCUUUUUGUGGAAAAAACGGGAGAUCUGCAUGCAGAUUUCACCCGCUACUAUAUGGUAGUGUUGAUCUGUUUUUUUUUUGUCAAUAAAUAAUUUUGUUACAAACACUUAACUUAAAAUAUAAUUAUCUGAUUUUUUAAAUAAUGUACGAUGAUUAGUUCAACUAUAUAACUCACACUAAUAUUAUUUGUGUCAUUUUAAAAUUAUAAGCAUGACGUACAAUCGCCAACAAAACGCAACAAUUUCCAAGGAAGAAAAUAUAAAUCUUCCUACACAAACCAGAUAAGUAGUUAAUAAUUUUUUAUGUUUUAGAAUAGUUACUAUAUAGGUAAACGAUUGGAAUUUUGUAAGUCUACUGAGAGAAAACAAUUUUAAAUGGAUGCUUAACCGAGAACGAGUAUUUAUUGAGUUGUAUGAUCAACUAAUUUUCAUGACCAAUUAC
rnacentral:lncRNA from 1 species